rnacentral:rRNA from 1 species
AUUGAACGCUGGCGGCAGGCCUAACACAUGCAAGUCGAGCGGAUGAAGGGAGCUUGCUCCUGGAUUCAGCGGCGGACGGGUGAGUAAUGCCUAGGAAUCUGCCUGGUAGUGGGGGAUAACGUCCGGAAACGGGCGCUAAUACCGCAUACGUCCUGAGGGAGAAAGUGGGGGAUCUUCGGACCUCACGCUAUCAGAUGAGCCUAGGUCGGAUUAGCUAGUUGGUGGGGUAAAGGCCUACCAAGGCGACGAUCCGUAACUGGUCUGAGAGGAUGAUCAGUCACACUGGAACUGAGACACGGUCCAGACUCCUACGGGAGGCAGUAGUGGGGAAUAUUGGACAAUGGGCGAAAGCCUGAUCCAGCCAUGCCGCGUGUGUGAAGAAGGUCUUCGGAUUGUAAAGCACUUUAAGUUGGGAGGAAGGGCAGUAAGUUAAUACCUUGCUGUUUUGACGUUACCAACAGAAUAAGCACCGACUAACUUCGUG